rfam:Oryza brachyantha chromosome 7, whole genome shotgun sequence.
AAUAACCUUAUUUUUUGUUUUUUCGUGUCCAAUGUUUAACCAUUCGUCUUAUUUAAAAUUUUUUGCGACUAAUAUUUUUAUUAUUAUUAGAUGAUAAAAUAUGAAUAGUACUUUAUACAUGACAAAUUUUUUCAAGUUUUUUUACAAUUUUUUUAAAUAAAACGAAUGGUCAAACGUUGGACAUGGAAAAAC